UACAGAGGGUGCAAACGUUGCUCGGAAUUAUUGGGCGUAAAGCGCGUGUAGGCGGUUUGCUAAGUCGGCUGUGAAAGCCCAUGGCUCAACCAUGGAAGUGCAGCCGAAACUGGUAGGCUUGAGUCCUGGAGAGGGUGGCGGAAUGCCCAGUGUAGAGGUGAAAUUCGUAGAUAUUGGGUAGAACACCGGUGGCGAAGGCGGCCACCUGGACAGCGACUGACGCUAAGACGCGAAAGCGUGGGGAGCGAACAGG
rnacentral:rRNA from 1 species